ACAGUCCGGAGAGCACAUGGAAUUAGGAACCUGGAGGAAACCCUAAGGGAAACAUCGGUUUCAGUGAUUCUGUAGGGUGUUUUGCAGGGUUCUCAGCCUACGGUCACCCGAUAUGCAAAGAGAGUGUCCGACGCUGAGAUCGGCCAGGCCACAAUGUCAUAUCCUGUGGGCGGGUCUCCGUUCUCAUCAAAGUACAUGGAUGAGUUGCCCACGCUGAACGUGACCUUCUUAAGCAGUGGCAGGAGCUGAUUGGGAACAGAAAAAGGUUAAUGUACAAAAUGAUUGAUAAACAGGCUGAUGCAUCCUAGCCUAACCCUCGCUGUCACAUGUGGGAGUUUCCAACCAGAUGUAUGAUAGAUAACUACACUGCCGUACCAGCCUACUCAGUGGACACUUACCACUGGUACAAUGGGCUGUUCUGUCAACAUACAUCUUAGGUGGACUCUCCCAAGUGUGAUGUCCCCACACAUUUUUUUUAAAAGGGCUUGCGAUGGAUGGCCUCUUCUUGUAAACCAGGGGCCGGUUAUCCAUUCAUCAUUCGUUGGGUAUUCCGUAAUAGGUUUCCCUUGUACUAGCCAACCAUGCGCUGUUCAUCUCACGUGCUCCAGCUCACCUGCCAGGGGUUAAUGGUCCUCGCUUGGCACCCUCCGACGUCGCACCCUAGCUUUUUGUGAAGCGCAUGAGCCACCGCAUACACCGCCCUGUACACGUUGAAGGAGGACGCAAAGUCGUAGGAGUCCAUCGGGUGAUCACUGGCCGCCAGGACGUACCCGUCGGAGGUCUGAAGGCACUCGCCCAGAGGGCCGAGCGGAAGCCUGGAGAAUUCACUGCGGUCGAUAUGCCUCGACAUCUCCUGCAUUUUCCUCUCGAAACCCCCAAAGCCAGGAAUAAUCUGGAACUUGACCGACAUUCCCAGGAAGGUGCCGAGGGUCCUGAUACCAGGGAUGUCCGCGAUGAGGGCGGAGGCGAUCCAGUCCUCACUGCCCAGCCAGAUUUUCCCCGUCACGUUGCGCUCCACCACCAACGGGAAGAAGCCCUGGAGUCGGGACUUGCUGGAGAACAGGACGAUGGUUUUGACGUUG